GACGAACGCUGGCGGCGUGCUUAACACAUGCAAGUCGAACGGAAAGGCCCUGCUUUUGUGGGGUGCUCGAGUGGCGAACGGGUGAGUAACACGUGAGUAACCUGCCCUUGACUUUGGGAUAACUUCAGGAAACUGGGGCUAAUACCGGAUAGGAGCUCCUGCUGCAUGGUGGGGGUUGGAAAGUUUCGGCGGUUGGGGAUGGACUCGCGGCUUAUCAGCUUGUUGGUGGGGUAGUGGCUUACCAAGGCUUUGACGGGUAGCCGGCCUGAGAGGGUGACCGGACAAAUUGGGACUGAGAUACGGAACAGACUCCAACGGGAGGCAGCAGUGGGGAAUAUUGCACAAUGGGCGGAAGCGUGAUGCAGCAACGCGGCGUGAGGGAUGACGGCCUUCGGGUUGUAAACCGCUUUCGACUGUGACGAAGCGUGAGUGACGGUAAUGGGUAAAGAAGGACCGGCUAACUACGUG
rnacentral:rRNA from 1 species